GUAAUUCCAGCUCCAAUAGCGUAUAUUAAAAUUGUUGCAGUUAAAAAGCUCGUAGUUGAAGUUCUGCUGAAAGUAACCGGUCUGCUUUUAAUAAAAGUGGUAUCUUGGUAUGUAUUUAGCAAUGAUGUCCUUUGAAGUGUUUUUUACUUUAUUGUAAUAAAGCAUAUUCAGGACUUUUACUUUGAGAAAAUUAGAGUGUUUCUAGCAGGCUGACGCUUUGAAUACUGCAGCAUGGAAUAAUAAGAUAGGAUUUUAGUUCUACAUUAUUGGUUUUAAGAGCUAAAUUAAUGAUUGAUAGGGACAGUUGGGGGCAUUUGUAUUUAAC
rnacentral:rRNA from 1 species